GUGAAUGCUGCUUUCUAGGAGCCAAGUACAGCCAGGGCCCAAGAGGCAGGCACUGUCCCUGCAGCUGAUUCAGAAGAAAGUGGGGGUGGGAGAAACUGGGGAAAUGCAUAGAGAGAAACCUGACUGUGCUGGGAGUUCUUUAGCCCAAACAUUUGGUAGGGGUGGUGAGAGUCUGGGGACUCCCAAGACUAACAGCAUUUUCAUGGCUAAUGAAAAGUAACACCCUCCCUCUUCCCUAGCUCUUUGUUUUGCCUUCCUUUUCAUCCCCUCACAACCUACUUUUCCUCCUUUAGCUCAUGUACCUGGCCCUUCCCUGGACUCACCUAUACCUCAACUGCUGCGAUUGCAACCAGAUAAAUUGAAGCAAGGGAGGACCAGAAAUGCAUUAGUGUUUGGAGGUGUGGAUCAGCAUUCCCACUCUGUGGGCCGAAGAUGAUCUGCUCACAAAAAGUACCAGAGCACCAUUACAUCACUGCUCUCCUCCCAGAGCUUGACAUGUGAAGAGUGCACCCCUGUACGACUCAUCGACUGCAAUGACUUACUGGCAACAGGAGAUGUGAAGGCUGCAGCUUUCAGGGCAUUAUUUCUAUGCAGACGUACACUUUGUAUAAAGACUCGUCCUACUUUAUUUCUUUCCGUAUUCAACUCUCCUUGUCAAUAUUCCUCAGCUCCUAGUGAAAGGCUGCACAGCUGCAAUGUUCUUGGUGCUGAGCACGACACAGCUAAUGCAGUGCUACUCUCAUGUGAAAGAUAAAUGGGGUGGAGAUGGCCGAGGGAGGGCAGCAAGUUCAAAAUGACAUGAGAGCUUCACUUUUCCCCCAUUUUGUGCCAGAUGAAAAGGAACACCCUUCUCCUUUGCAUCCGAUGAAGUGAGCUGUAGCUCACAAAAGUUUAUGCUCAAAUAAAUUGGUUAGUCUCUAA